UCUUGGUCCAUUAUUACUUUUGGUACGCGCUAUGCCAAACUCUACUCGUACCGUGAGUAAUAAUGCACUGAGA
rfam:Salmo salar isolate Sally breed double haploid chromosome ssa01, whole genome shotgun sequence.